ACACACACACACACCCACACACACACGGAUCCGCUAGUGCCUUAUCAGUAUUGUUGUUUCAAUCAUAUUAUCAGUAAUGAUAAAUGCUUAUUUUUGCUUAUUUUUUAGCAUUUGCCUGCAUAUUUACUUUGCCAGAAUCUGCUUGUAUUUAAUGAUCUAGUCAGUAAUCUACAAAGUAACAUAAACAUUUCAUUUUCUAGUACGUAAUGGUAUUUCAGAGCUAGAGGGGAGGAUAUGUUAUGUAUUUAAUAGUAUUUUUUUAUCAAUAUAACUAUUCCGGAUAUCUAGUCCAUGUCUGGUUUUAUAAAGUUUGAUAUUAGUCACGGCUUACAUUGUAGCUCUUCAGUCAGUAUAUACGGUAAUUUCUUUUCAAUGUCGGGUUACGUUUUCUCUGUCAAGCGAACUACUAACACAACACCUUCUAUGCUGAAUUGAUGGUAAACAUGUCUGUAAGCAUUUGGGGCACGGAUAAUAUGCAGGUUCAAAAUAUUGCAGAAUUCUCAAAAAUACAAUGAAGAAGGUUUCUUGGAAAUAGACACCAUCCAUAUCGAGUCACUUUCAUUUUCCUUUACUCCGUAGAUAUAAACCUUAAACCAUAUUCAUGUAAUUAUUAGUAUAUCCACUGUAUUUUUUCAAACAUUAUAAUUAUGUAUAAUUGUAUACAGAUAUUGGCUGAUAUACUAGAGUGCAGCUUGAGUGCUGUUGUGUUGAUGAAUCAAGAUAUCUGUCUGAUGUGAUAUGUAAUCUCUGUAAUUGUUGCUGAGUGUGAAGUGUUCAACUGAUUCAAUUCACAAAAAGAAUUCCGUUACAUCAAUACAAAUGACGAUGGAGGAUUAUUCUUUUUUCGUGCCCUGCCUGGACCAGUAAUUGACUAUCUAUGAUACCAUAGAUAUCCGUGAUGAUACAAUACUCUUCAGACAGGAAAUAACAUCUUGAACCUAAAGUAGAUUUUGUAUAUAUAUAAUUAUGGUACUUUUUGUUUAUAAUUGGCUGUGAUAUACGAAUUAGGUGGUUGUAGAUCUAGAUACGAGGGUUAAAGAUUGUAAUCUCAUGUCUUGAUUACAUUACUAGCUAGUAUUGACAUGUUGUCAGUAGUUUGGACUCUACACCCCACAAGUAACGCAGUUGUGUCAGCCGCGUAUUUCUAGCUACAUAUGUUAUACGGCAUUUUUUAUAUUGUAGUUACUGCCAGAUGUGCUAUAAAUCAUAGAUUUGUUAUUACUUUGUGAUUGUGCUAUACAUCUCUUGUUUGUUAUAAAUCACAUGUAUCUUGUAAAUCGACACUAUGUUGUAAAUCAAUGAAACUCAUGACAUGAGACAUGUAAUAACAGAUAUCGUAUUAUAUUACAUAUAUAGCCAUAGAUAAAUUAUCUUUUUUUAUCAAUAAGAUACCAGAUUUUAUCAAUAAAUUAAAUAUCAUGUACAAUGAAAUGGAUAUCUUUUUACGAAUGAAAUAAAAUAGUGCAUAAUGAAUUAUAGGUAUUUAAUUUAUAAAUGAAAUAUAAUCUGUCAAUGGAUAGUUAUAUUUUCAAAACAAAAAAGACAUCUUUUCAUAAAAAACAAAUGAAAAAAUGUAUCCACGAAUCACAUAUAGAUAUUUUUUCCUAAAUGAAAUAAAAUCUAAUAUAUCAAUGCGUUAGAUAUCCUAUGAAAUCAAAAAGAGAUAUUUUUUUAUCAAUGAAAAAUAAUUCUCAAUAAAUUAAAUAUCAUGUAAAAUAAAAUAGUUAUCUUUAUUAUCAAUGAAAUAUUAUCAUUAAAGAGAUGUGUAAUUAAAUGCAAAUAAAUAAGGAAUUAUAUACAGAUAUCUGAUCAAUUAAAUGCAGAUAUACUUUAAAGCAAAUCAACAUUCUUUAAAAAGGAAAGAGUAACAUUUAAUAAAGAAAUGCACAUAUGAUAUGAAUUAAAUCGAGGUAUAGUGUAAAAAUGAAAUAUGAUUUUUUUUUAUAUAUUGAACAGAGAUUCUUUACAAAAUUAUAAUCAAUGAAUGUUUAAAUAGAAAUAAAGAUAAACUAGGAAUUACAAAGAUUUUUAAAAUAAAAUAAUUAUAUCUUUAACUACUUAAAAACUUACUUGUAACCACCCAGAUUCAUUUAAUUGUCUAAAUGUCAUAAUACUCUAUAUGCUGUUAACGAUAUUAAUGGGUUAAUUAUGUAAAAAAAAAAAACAACUUUGAAUCCUUCCUUGCAUUCAUGGUAACUGGGGAAGGUGAGUCUAUUACUGAUGACUCUAAAAACAAUGUAUAUAAUCAUUGUUUCUUAUUGUUCUGAUGUCCACCUAAAGAAUAAAAUAUCAAUAUUUAAAGAAAUGUUAUUUGUUUAUAUUUUGAUACGGUAUACCGCUAAUGCACCAUGUCCACGUCUCCCAAAAAGAGGGUUUGACACGCAGUGAUCAGAUACACUGGACAUGUCGCGGUGACAGUUUCGAAACCUUGAGCGUAAUAAAAAUUGUACAAAUAUUACAUGGUAACACAUUACAUUUACACUAUCAAUUUUUCUGGCUAGGAUCGGAGGUACCGUAUCAUAAGAAUUUCAUUCCUUUGUCAUUUCUCUAAUAACAAUUUUAGUACGACAGGAAUUAUAUGACCUUUUCUACAAUUUGUCAAAUAUCUAUUGUGAUAAUGAUCGGUAUAUGUCCUGUGGUCCCUUUGUAACCAGUUUCAUAUCCACUGUCGCCUUUAAGUUGCAGGAUCGUACUGUAACUUCUACGGUAUAUGCUGUUAUUAUCAGAGUAAAUGACCGUUUAUCAAUGUUUUGUCACAUGAAUAUCACUCUUUGUAUCGAUAACGUUGAUAAAGAUGAAUUCUACCAAA